GGGUUGUGAGGUUAAGCGACUAAGCGUACACGGUGGAUGCCCUGGCAGUCAGAGGCGAUGAAGGACGUGCUAAUCUGCGAUAAGCGUCGGUAAGGUGAUAUGAACCGUUAUAACCGGCGAUUUCCGAAUGGGGAAACCCAGUGUGUUUCGACACACUAUCAUUAACUGAAUCCAUAGGUUAAUGAGGCGAACCGGGGGAACUGAAACAUCUAAGUACCCCGAGGAAAAGAAAUCAACCGAGAUUCCCCCAGUAGCGGCGAGCGAACGGGGAGCAGCCCAGAGCCUGAAUCAGUGUGUGUGUUAGUGGAAGCGUCUGGAAAGGCGCGCGAUACAGGGUGACAGCCCCGUACACAAAAAUGCACAUGCUGUGAGCUCGAUGAGUAGGGCGGGACACGUGGUAUCCUGUCUGAAUAUGGGGGGACCAUCCUCCAAGGCUAAAUACUCCUGACUGACCGAUAGUGAACCAGUACCGUGAGGGAAAGGCGAAAAGAACCCCGGCGAGGGGAGUGAAAAAGAACCUGAAACCGUGUACGUACAAGCAGUGGGAGCACGCUUAGGCGUGUGACUGCGUACCUUUUGUAUAAUGGGUCAGCGACUUAUAUUCUGUAGCAAGGUUAACCGAAUAGGGGAGCCGAAGGGAAACCGAGUCUUAACUGGGCGUUAAGUUGCAGGGUAUAGACCCGAAACCCGGUGAUCUAGCCAUGGGCAGGUUGAAGGUUGGGUAACACUAACUGGAGGACCGAACCGACUAAUGUUGAAAAAUUAGCGGAUGACUUGUGGCUGGGGGUGAAAGGCCAAUCAAACCGGGAGAUAGCUGGUUCUCCCCGAAAGCUAUUUAGGUAGCGCCUCGUGAAUUCAUCUCCGGGGGUAGAGCACUGUUUCGGCAAGGGGGUCAUCCCGACUUACCAACCCGAUGCAAACUGCGAAUACCGGAGAAUGUUAUCACGGGAGACACACGGCGGGUGCUAACGUCCGUCGUGAAGAGGGAAACAACCCAGACCGCCAGCUAAGGUCCCAAAGUCAUGGUUAAGUGGGAAACGAUGUGGGAAGGCCCAGACAGCCAGGAUGUUGGCUUAGAAGCAGCCAUCAUUUAAAGAAAGCGUAAUAGCUCACUGGUCGAGUCGGCCUGCGCGGAAGAUGUAACGGGGCUAAACCAUGCACCGAAGCUGCGGCAGCGACGCUGAUGCGUUGUUGGGUAGGGGAGCGUUCUGUAAGCCUGCGAAGGUGUGCUGUGAGGCAUGCUGGAGGUAUCAGAAGUGCGAAUGCUGACAUAAGUAACGAUAAAGCGGGUGAAAAGCCCGCUCGCCGGAAGACCAAGGGUUCCUGUCCAACGUUAAUCGGGGCAGGGUGAGUCGACCCCUAAGGCGAGGCCGAAAGGCGUAGUCGAUGGGAAACAGGUUAAUAUUCCUGUACUUGGUGUUACUGCGAAGGGGGGACGGAGAAGGCUAUGUUGGCCGGGCGACGGUUGUCCCGGUUUAAGCGUGUAGGCUGGUUUUCCAGGCAAAUCCGGAAAAUCAAGGCUGAGGCGUGAUGACGAGGCACUACGGUGCUGAAGCAACAAAUGCCCUGCUUCCAGGAAAAGCCUCUAAGCAUCAGGUAACAUCAAAUCGUACCCCAAACCGACACAGGUGGUCAGGUAGAGAAUACCAAGGCGCUUGAGAGAACUCGGGUGAAGGAACUAGGCAAAAUGGUGCCGUAACUUCGGGAGAAGGCACGCUGAUAUGUAGGUGAAGUCCCUUGCGGAUGGAGCUGAAAUCAGUCGAAGAUACCAGCUGGCUGCAACUGUUUAUUAAAAACACAGCACUGUGCAAACACGAAAGUGGACGUAUACGGUGUGACGCCUGCCCGGUGCCGGAAGGUUAAUUGAUGGGGUCAGCGCAAGCGAAGCUCUUGAUCGAAGCCCCGGUAAACGGCGGCCGUAACUAUAACGGUCCUAAGGUAGCGAAAUUCCUUGUCGGGUAAGUUCCGACCUGCACGAAUGGCGUAAUGAUGGCCAGGCUGUCUCCACCCGAGACUCAGUGAAAUUGAACUCGCUGUGAAGAUGCAGUGUACCCGCGGCAAGACGGAAAGACCCCGUGAACCUUUACUAUAGCUUGACACUGAACAUUGAGCCUUGAUGUGUAGGAUAGGUGGGAGGCUUGGAAGUGUGGACGCCAGUCUGCAUGGAGCCGACCUUGAAAUACCACCCUUUAAUGUUUGAUGUUCUAACGUUGACCCGUAAUCCGGGUUGCGGACAGUGUCUGGUGGGUAGUUUGACUGGGGCGGUCUCCUCCUAAAGAGUAACGGAGGAGCACGAAGGUUGGCUAAUCCUGGUCGGACAUCAGGAGGUUAGUGCAAUGGCAUAAGCCAGCUUGACUGCGAGCGUGACGGCGCGAGCAGGUGCGAAAGCAGGUCAUAGUGAUCCGGUGGUUCUGAAUGGAAGGGCCAUCGCUCAACGGAUAAAAGGUACUCCGGGGAUAACAGGCUGAUACCGCCCAAGAGUUCAUAUCGACGGCGGUGUUUGGCACCUCGAUGUCGGCUCAUCACAUCCUGGGGCUGAAGUAGGUCCCAAGGGUAUGGCUGUUCGCCAUUUAAAGUGGUACGCGAGCUGGGUUUAGAACGUCGUGAGACAGUUCGGUCCCUAUCUGCCGUGGGCGCUGGAGAACUGAGGGGGGCUGCUCCUAGUACGAGAGGACCGGAGUGGACGCAUCACUGGUGUUCGGGUUGUCAUGCCAAUGGCACUGCCCGGUAGCUAAAUGCGGAAGAGAUAAGUGCUGAAAGCAUCUAAGCACGAAACUUGCCCCGAGAUGAGUUCUCCCUGACUCCUUGAGAGUCCUGAAGGAACGUUGAAGACGACGACGUUGAUAGGCCGGGUGUGUAAGCGCAGCGAUGCGUUGAGCUAACCGGUACUAAUGAACCGUGAGGCUUAACCUUACAACGCCGAAGGUGUUU
rnacentral:rRNA from 1 species